UACGAAGGGUGCAAGCGUUAAUCGGAAUUAUUGGGCGUAAAGAGCUCGUAGGCGGUGUGUCGCGUCGGCCGUGAAAACCUGGGGCUUAACUCUGGGCGUGCGGUCGAUACGGGCAUCACUAGAGUUCGGCAGGGGAGACUGGAAUUCCUGGUGUAGCGGUGAAAUGCGCAGAUAUCAGGAGGAACACCGGUGGCGAAGGCGGGUCUCUGGGCCGAUACUGACGCUGAGGAGCGAAAGCAUGGGUAGCGAACAGG
rnacentral:rRNA from 1 species